AUUGAACGCUGGCGGCAGGCCUAAACCAUGCAAGUCGAACGAGUGGCAGACGGGUGAGUAAUGUCUGGGAAACUGCAGGAUGGAGGGGGAUAACUACUGGAAAAGGUAGCUAAUACCGCAUACCAUCGGAUGUGCCCAGAUGGGAUUAGCUAGUAGGGUGGGUAAAGGCUCACCUAGGCGACGAUCCCUAGCUGGUCUGAGAGGAUGAACAGCCACACUGGAACUGGGACACGGGCCAGACUCCCACGGUAUGCAGGAGUGGGGAAUAUUGCACAAUGGGCGCAAGCCUGAUGCAGCCAUGCCGCGUGUAUGAAGAAGGCCUUCGGGUUGUAAAGUACUUUCAGCGGGGAGGCGUUACCCGCAGAAGAAGCACCGGCUAACUCCGUGCCAGCAGCCGCGGUAAUUC
rnacentral:rRNA from 1 species